AGUGAACGCUGGCGGUAGGCCUAACACAUGCAAGUCGAACGGCAGCACAGUAAGAGCUUGCUCUUACGGGUGGCGAGUGGCGGACGGGUGAGGAAUACAUCGGAAUCUACUUUUUCGUGGGGGAUAACGUAGGGAAACUUACGCUAAUACCGCAUACGACCUACGGGUGAAAGCAGGGGAUCUUCGGACCUUGCGCGAUUGAAUGAGCCGAUGUCGGAUUAGCCAGUUGGCGGGGUAAAGGCCCACCAAGGCGACGAUCCGUAGCUGGUCUGAGAGGAUGAUCAGCCACACUAGAACUGAGACACGGUCCAGACUCCUACGGGAGGCAGCAGUGGGGAAUAUUGGACAAUGGGCGCAAGCCUGAUCCAGCCAUACCGCGUGGGUGAAGAAGGCCUUCGGGUUGUAAAGCCCUUUUGUUGGGAAAGAAAAGCAGCAGGUUAAUACCCCGCUGUUCUGACGGUACCCAAAGAAUAAGCACCGGCUAACUUCGUG
rnacentral:rRNA from 1 species